rnacentral:lncRNA from 1 species
CCCACAGUGGACAGCUUUCAGCAGAGCUUCCAGACUAGGGCAGACUAGGAAGAAGGACCUGGCCACCCACUUCCAAAAUAAUUGCCAUGAAAACCCUGUGAAUAGUGGGGGAAGAUUGUCUGAUACAGCAUCAGAAGGUGAAAGGAUGGUGCUAAAAAGCUGGGCAGGGUUCUGCUCUGUGGCACACACAGUCACAAUGAGUUGGAAUCAACCUGAUGGCACUAACAACAAAUUAUGUGACUCCACUUAUAUGAAGUAUCCAGGAAUGGGAGCAUAUAUCUUGGGAAACUGAAACUCAAGAGGCCUCAUGAAACAUGAGGCUAGUUACCAUGAAGAUUAUUCUCUGUGAAAGAUGACAGAAGAGAGAACAUUUUGGCUGAACAGUGUGACUUCAUGGAUUUAAAAGACUUUAAAUAAAUUGAAUGACAGAAUGAUUUGAAAGUAAACAUAAUCUUCAACUUGUACAUCUGGUAAUAGAGUGAUACCUUCCCAAACUGAAAUCAAGCUGGAAAUAUUUUACCAUGAAUCUGGUUGAAACAGUAGAAGCACACAUUUUAUUUUUGAAUACCUAUUAAAAGUCAAUUUUAUGUCUGUAAGGAGUGGUAAUUAAUAACAUGGAAAGAAACUCUGAUAUUAUGUAAAUAGGAGAGCAACUGGAAUCUGCUGGAUUUGGUGCAUAUAACUUGAAGGCACAUGAUAUAUAAUACUUUUG